rnacentral:rRNA from 1 species
CCGGCGCACGGGUGAGUAACGCGUAUGCAACUUACCUAUCAGAGGGGGAUAACCCGGCGAAAGUCGGACUAAUACCGCAUGAAGCAGGGGCCCCGCAUGGGGAUAUUUGCUAAAGAUUCAUCGCUGAUAGAUAGGCAUGCGUUCCAUUAGGCAGUUGGCGGGGUAACGGCCCACCAAACCGACGAUGGAUAGGGGUUCUGAGAGGAAGGUCCCCCACAUUGGUACUGAGACACGGACCAA